AGGAGCCAUGUGAUGUGCCAGCUCAAUUAAUGAGCUUCAUCCAACGCUCCACGUUUUUUUUGCCAUUUUUAAUUUCUGAUUUCAUUUUCUUUUUAUUUUUUAAAUUCCUUUUCAUUUCAAAAAAUCAUAUCUCCUUCAUUAUUGGUCUAAAAAAUGUGAGACCCAAAUACAUUAUUCUUCUUUUAAUUUCUAGUUUCUAAAAAUGAUUUUUAAUAUUUGUUAUUUUACAAUUUGAUAUUUUUUUAGGAAAUUUCUCUCUUCUGGUUUUAAUUCAUUUUAAAUAGUUUUUGAUAUUCAAAAAAUACAAAAAUAUUUUUCCAACCUCU
rnacentral:lncRNA from 1 species